GGCGCAGGUGCAGCGCCCGCCUGGCGGCAGGUGUGCCCGCAGCUAAACUGCAGGUUCGAAGGAAACCGCUCCCACAAGACGAGAAACAGAACAGCAAAGAGGACGCCACCUCGUUGUUCCCGGAGUGCCGCGUCCUUGUCCACCUCUCUGCACUAUGUCGGGCGGCCUGACGGCGCUGCGCAGCGACUCCUAGUGGAGCUGAGCCAGUACGGGGACCAGCACUUCCGGGGUGACAGUGAAGAACAGGAAAAAUUACUGAAGAAAAGCUGUACAUUGUAUGUUGGAAAUCUUUCCUUUUACACAACUGAAGAACAAAUCUAUGAACUCUUCAGCAAAAGCGGUGACAUAAAGAAAAUCAUUUUCGGUCUGGAUAAAAUGAAAAAAACAGCAUGCGGAUUCUGUUUCGUGGAAUACUAUUCAAGAGCAGAUGCAGAAAAUGCCAUGCGGUACAUAAAUGGAACUCGUCUGGGUGACCGGAUCAUUCGCACAGAUUGGGAUGCAGGCUUUAAGGAGGGCAGGCAGUACGGACGUGGGCGAUCUGGGGGCCAGGCACGAGAUGAGUAUCGGCAAGACUAUGAUGCUGGGAGAGGAGGCUAUGGAAAACUGGCACAAAACCAGUGAGUGGUGAGAGCUCCAUCGGUGAAAAACUCACUCCUUUGGCCUGUUGAAUUUAUUGAACCUUACCCAAGGUCUUCAAACCAGCUCAUUUUUACCAGGCUGUGAUCAUUAUCUGCUGAGCUGGAAGCCUCUUCAUGGUUUUCCUCUGAAAAUUAUUAAAGGACAGAAUACAAAAGAAUGCCUUUAAUUCUAGUCUUAGAAUCUUGGCCAUGUGUCGGGUCACCAGAAUGAUUUUCUGUUACCAUUUCAGAAACUGUGUUCCUUGGCAACAGAUUUGAUCUGCACUUCUUUUAGGAAGACUGGAAAAAAUUUUAAAUUUGUUUUACCAUGUUUGAGUCUAAGUAGGUUCAUGAUCUAUACUGGGGCCUGGAAUUAUUAAGUUUGCAUGAGAUAAAGUUUAAUAAAUGGGGUUUUGCUAUGUUGUAUAGCUUUGCUCUAAAUUAGUAACAGGUGUUUCACAACUGAAUUUGUUUUUUAUGAAUUCUGAUUGUUAAAGGAAAACUUAGAAACAAGGAGCCUUCCUAAAUAUUAAUAGUUGGUGCAAAAGCAAGCCUUAGUCCCAGGGAACUAAAGCUUCUAUGCUUUACAUAUCAGGAAAUUAGGUGCAGACUUGAAGAGUAUUUACUAAACACAUUUUUUCAAAAAAAUGUAAAUGUUAUACCUAAAGCUUAAAAAAAAAAAAAGCAAGAGUUUGUAAUAUGAAGAACCUCAAAUACUCCAAGAGGUGGGGGAGACAUUGCAGUCAGAAAUGGGAUGAAGUAUCAGAGACACAAGUUAAAACAAUGCCUUGACAUGAUGAAGGUUGCUGUCAGGGCCAUCUGAUUUAUUCUUUUCAUUUUCAGUGAUCUUGGGAAUGGAGUGGGUUUUAAGGAGCUUGAAGAUUGAGAGAAUGCUUAACAAAAACAAUCACAGAAGCUUCCUGCAGGAGAUGUCUAUUCUAGCCAAUUCUCAUAUUGAAGUGUGUUUUCAUUUCUAAAUGUGCUUAUUACUGAGGUCCAAGCUUUGAUAGGGAGCUGAUAGUCUCUACAGAAAGGGGAGUCUAGAGAAUUUAUUUUGCAUUUGUGAGGCAAGAGGUGAUUUCUCUCUAAUGUGAGCUACUGCUCAUUUAAAACUGUUAAGUCUAGUAUAAUUUUCCCUGAUGUGAAAAAAUGUGAAUUUUUUUCCAUUUAGCAACAAAGUAUCUUCUAACUUGCAAUAGUUUGUGAAAGUUGGGGCUGAAGUACCUCAAUGUGAACACGUUUCAUGUUAUGCCUUUCUGUCUUAAUUACAUAACCUCAGGGAUCUGAAAAUGUUUUUCAUAAAAGGCCACAUAGUAAAUGUUUCGGACUUUGUGGGCCCGAAGCUCUGUUACAGCCACUCAACUCUACUGCGGCGUGAAGGCCGCCAUACGGCACGUGCGUGAGCAGGACAACCCUGGAAGUAUAUGUCGAAGAGGCCAGAGCCUCUGUCUGCCUGCGUCCUUGACUGUCUACGUGGAACUGACUUUUCCUGCAUAAACUACUACCACAUGGACUUGCUACGAGGGAGAGAAAGCUGCUACGGCGAGUCGUUGAGAUGUGGGCCAGCAGAUCUAGCAGUGGGGGCCGUGCGCCAGCCGCAGCGGCGCUGAUGCUGAUGGACCGCAGCCACCGGGCCACACCCUUUAGACCGCCGGCCCGGAGGGCGCAGCGUGAAGCAGCAGUCACGUUGCUCUCCUCUGCGCUAAAUGACUAUCUUUUGGAGGCAUGUGGGCUCCAGAGUCACUGAUGCCAACUGGCCACAAGACGCUGGACGCCAGAACUCACAGCAUGCAGCUCAGGAAUGCGCAGCCAGCCAGUGCUAGACGUCGCCCUGCGAACCAACGGGCAUUCCUGACAGACAGCUUGGUAUCAGCCCACUCACUGCUUGUUCCCUUGCCUUUAAAAAUCUGCUGUAAUAAAAGCUGAUGAAACACUCCCCAAGGCCAGUGGGCAGUGUGCCUGGGCAGCUGUCCUCAUUCUGGUUCGAGUGAACUCUUGAAGUCA